UAUUAUUUAUUAUAAAUAUAAUUUGUCUUUUACAUGAAUACCCUGGGUGGCUCAUCCUUUCUCUCUCAACCUCUUCACCGGUCAAACUCACCACCAAGGCCAUCUCCGGCCACUCACUGCGGCGACAACGGUCGCAGAGUUCCGGCCAUCCACCGCACAACCGUCUCUUUGUCUUUCCCACAAAUCAGAGUUCAACCAGUAGAAAUAAGAGUUUUAAUUGCAGAUCUGGGUUUUUAUCUUCACGGUUCUGGAAUUCGAACGUCGUCAUCUGCUCAGAUCGAACCCUUUUUCCCAAACACCACAUCUGUUCAGAUCGAACCCUACCACGACGAGGGUGGUCGGAACGAUGGGGUACCUUUCGCCGGAGCUCACUCGCACGGGGAAGCCAACGACGAGCUCCGACGUGUUCGCCGCUGUCGGUGAUGGGCGAAGUUCAAGGUGGCUUUCAUCUCACCAAAUCAGCCAUUAAUUCUCGUGGUUUCACUUGCAAACGGUGAUGGAUUUGCUGAGGGUCUUGUGGGUGUAUAUGGCUUUGCGAGAGGGAAGGUGCUGGUGGUGGCGUGGGGUGCAGGUGCGCUAGAGAGAAAGCCGAAACAGAGAUCGAUGUUGGAGAGGGAGCCGGUGAGAUAGAGGUGAAGAACAAAUCGUGGUUGGUUGGAAAAUUUUCAAGUUGUUGAUACAUGAGGUCCAGUUACUUGCCAUGUCUGCCAGUAAUGGGGGAUUCCGGUGGGGAGGAAGGAGAGAGAGGAAAGGUAUUAUUGUAACAUAUAUUUUUAUUUAUUUUUUCAGCAGGUAAUAGUUACCUCUUAUAACAGGUUAAAUUGGCUCUUGCAUGGUGCAAGACCUAGAGAGCACUUGCACCCUAGAGGCCUCCUCCCUCUGGUGCUUUUGUGUUUGUUUUCUUCAAGAAGCUUGAAAUGCAUGUUGGGUUUUAGGGAAUUGUUGUGGGGUUACGUUUGCUCAGACAAAGAGGCUUUAUCAAGGGUCAUGCUCUCAAUGAGAUCGAUACCAACCUGAGGUUAAGUUAAUAGAACUGUCGGUCAAGUUCACCAAAGUAAGGUUGGCACCUCAAGUGCUAGUUACAUAAGAAUCUGCCAAAGGUAUCCCUCAGUGAAUUCUCAUUGCUCCAUUGUGCACUCAAUCAUUACCAUAAAUACCACCAUCGUUUACCACCACCAUUGAACAAGGAAUUUCCCAGCAUAUAUUCAUGGGAAGAACACUCCAUGAUCCCUCGCUCUUUAGUUGGCUAAAGCUGAGAAGGUUAGGCGGGUUGGUGGAUUGGAUACCCCAACUAAAACUGGUAAAAAUGAGAAGUUAAAUGGCUAGCUUCGUUUGGCACAGCUAAGAUUACUGAGACCCUAUAAUUAUCGUUUUCUUCUCGUUUGAUUCAUCAUAUAUGUUGAUCCUUUAGCCUAAAAGAAUCGAAGGUGAUAAGUUCAGAUUAACUUAUCGAGCCACUAAUCUUUUACUAUGAA